CCUACGGGGGGCUGCAGUGGGGAAUAUUGGACAAUGGGGGCAACCCUGAUCCAGCCAUGCCGCGUGUGUGAAGAAGGCCCUCGGGUUGUAAAGCACUUUCAGUGAGGAAGAACGCCUGGUGGUUAAUACCCAUCAGGAAAGACAUCACUCACAGAAGAAGCACCGGCUAACUCCGUGCCAGCAGCCGCGGUAAUACGGAGGGUGCGAGCGUUAAUCGGAAUUACUGGGCGUAAAGCGCGCGUAGGUGGCUUGAUAAGCCGGUUGUGAAAGCCCCGGGCUCAACCUGGGAACGGCAUCCGGAACUGUCAAGCUUGAGUGCAGGAGAGGAAGGUAGAAUUCCCGGUGUAGCGGUGAAAUGCGUAGAGAUCGGGAGGAAUACCAGUGGCGAAGGCGGCCUUCUGGACUGACACUGACACUGAGGUGCGAAAGCGUGGGUAGCAAACAGGAUUAGAUACCCCAGUAGUC
rnacentral:rRNA from 1 species